rnacentral:lncRNA from 1 species
CUAAUAAGCGCGCGAGCGCCGCUGUUUAAACUUCAGCGGUUACGGUGCGCUGACUGCGCUCAGCGUUCGGGAGAACGACGAUUACAUUGGUAAGUGAGAAAAUUAAUUAAUUGCAGCUUAUUUCAAUUACUUUUACCUAAACCCUUGUCAUUUUUAGUUAGCCUAACGUUACACGUUUAUUUCAAGAAGCUAAAAAGAAGAAAGGUGGUUUAUCGCGUUGUCCAGGCCUGCGCAAUUCUCCGCCGGGAGAUUUUAUUGGACCUAACGUUAUAUGUAUAGGAAAAGAUGAAACAAAGUUUCGGUCAAAUCACCGUCAGACAGCCGUUAUAAACAUGAAUUCAAACCAAGAAGAACAAAGAGAGAAGCUGAUGGAGAUGUUACAAUUUUUUCUGUGAAUAACUGAGUAUUUGUUGUUUGAGAUGUUCAUCUAUCUCAGAGAGCACUUUUAAAGUUUUACCACCACCUUAUCAGAGUGCUGAAAAGUGGAAGUCAGAGGAAACAUGCCCAACUUGCUGCAAAACAAUAACACAAAAGGUACAUUAUUUCUUUUUCCUCACAGUACCAACUUUGGGGAAACUCAUAA